GCCCCUGUAGUGUAGUCCGGCCUGUUCUCCAGCUUCUCUCUCUUGAGACCCGGGUUCGAAUCCCGGCGGGGGCGCCA
rnacentral:tRNA from 1 species